rnacentral:rRNA from 1 species
UGGGGAAUAUUGCACAAUGGGCGAAAGCCUGAUGCAGCCAUGCCGCGUGUGUGAAGAAGGCCUUCGGGUUGUAAAGCACUUUAGGCGAGGAGGAAAAGCGUACGGUUAAUAACCGUGCGCCGUGACGUUACUCGCAGAAUAAGCACCGGCUAACUCCGUGCCAGCAGCCGCGGUAAUACGGAGGGUGCAAGCGUUAAUCGGAAUUACUGGGCGUAAAGCGCGCGUAGGCGGUUUGAUAAGCGGAGUGUGAAAUCCCCGGGCUUAACCUGGGAACUGCAUUCCGAACUGUCGAGCUAGAGUAUGAGAGAGGGUGGCGGAAUUCCGAGUGUAGCGGUGAAAUGCGUAGAUAUUCGGAGGAACACCAGUGGCGAAGGCGGCCACCUGGAUCAAUACUGACGCUGAGGCGCGAAAGCGUGGGUAGCAAACAGG